UCUCCUUUGGAUUAAACGAGACACAUGACAUGAAUUCCAACAAUCUCAUGGAGACAUGUGAAGAUGUGCUUUAGAGUAUGGAGAAGAUUUCAUUGGCAGAGGCAAGAAGGAGAGAAUAAGCAUGAAUGCAGAUGCAGAACCAAGCAAGGGCACUUUAUGUGUAAAUUCAUUGAGCAAGCACUGGAAGAACUGGGAAGAGAGGCCGACUGACAUCCAUAACAGAGACAUUUUGUACACUUGACCAUUGACAGAUUUCUCCAAAGUAAUGACCUUUUGUUUUAGACCAAGAGGCCCGUGGAGCUGUCAGAAGUGCCAUGAUCUGGAAGAGUCCAUCUGAAAGAAGGUUUGAAGUCUACUUGUGGCUCAAAUGGUUUUGAAGUGCAACAUCAAAAGGUAAAUGAGAAAGCAGAAGACUGAAGAGCAGUGGAGAUGAAUGAUGAUUCUGGAGAAGUGAGGCUUGAUCUGAAAUGUAUAGACCAUGGAUGGACAUAAGGGAUAAAAUUACCUUUGACUAAGACUGCGGGGUUUGCAGUUAUGCUGAUAGCUAUAGGUAAUCUUAAUUAGACAAUGCUAUAAAGGUAAGGGGGAAAACACUUGUUUUGGCUUUCUCAAGGUCUUGGCUCCCUAGCAGCAAUAGCUUACAGUGAGAACAGCAGGUGACAUUGCCACAUCUCAGAAUACCAUGGGCCAAAGCAUUAGGGACUAUUGAGCCAAAGCCCUCUAGAUUCCUAACCUCAGCAUCUGCUUUCUGAUUUUUUGCUUCAUCUUUCCAAAGAGAAAGGUCACAUAACUAUCAAGUGGCAGAGCCAGGAUUCACAUGCAGGCUGCCUAGUUCCAGAGCCUCAAUUUAGAUGAUGGCACAAUUUCUGCUUGCUAGGAUUGGUGACACUGUGUGGGUUGUCAGCCUCCUCCAUUUUGCAAACCUCCACUCAAACUUAAGGAAAAAAAGAAACUUGCAGGUUAUUUUCCCAAAAUAAACCAUUCUCUAUUAUCCACCAGCCCCAUUCCUCCCCACUUUCUAUACCUAAAUCCUGAGGUGUUUCCAUCAUUUUUUAGACCUCUCCUGAAAUUACAUUGCAGAGAACCAGUACCAGGUACAUCCAGCUGAGGACCAUUGGAGUCUAUCCCUGCAGGUUUUGUGUGCAGAAGAUUGAAUUGUCAAUUACAUUCUCUCUGCUUCUGUGCCCUGCAUCCUGGAGAAUCAUGAAGCGCAGGCCAUGAAGCAAGCCACAGAACUCUCGGGGAUUUGGUCAUUAGUUGUCAGGGCUGAAAGCUUUUAUGUGGCUCACUGUAGAGCAAUGGGAGGUGGUGAGGACACUAAGUUAUUUUAAAAGACAACAAAGAUUAUUUCUGACUGUCCUUUCCACUGAGGCUUAUGUGCAAUUUCUAUACACAAGAAUAUUUUCAUCAAGUACCCUGUGCCCAGCACUAAGCUAGUUGUUAUGAGAGAUCCAAAGCUCAAGAAAUGUUUUCUGUUGCUAGGGGUCUUUAAUCUAGUUGAGAAGACAUGAUAUACACCUAACAGAUCAGUAGAAAACACUUCAUAAUUAUGCAAAAAAACUACAUGUAACCUCAUACCGGUAAAAAAUGUGCUAUGGAAAGUCAAAACAAACAGAAAUAAUCAUAGCAAUAGUAAUAAUAAUAAGAC